GAUAAGCUACUAAGAGCGUACGGUGGAUGCCUUGGCGCCAGAAGCCGAUGAAGGACGCGGUAAGCUGCGAUAAGCCUCGGGGAAGCGCAAACAGCUUUUGAUCCGGGGAUUUCCGAAUGGGGCAACCCGCCAUGAUUUCAUGGCGCGGCGCGCUGAAUCCAUAGGCGCGCCGAGGGAACCAGGGGAAGUGAAACAUCUCAGUACCCUGAGGAAGAGAAAUCAACCGAGAUUCCGCUAGUAGUGGCGAGCGAACGCGGAACAGCCCAAACCGAUUGUCUGUAAGCCUGCUUGCGUUGGACAGUCGGGGUUGUGGGGCGGACCAUGGGAGAAGGGCAGUUUUCCCGUCUGUGUGGGUCGUGAAGCCGAACAGUCCUGGAAAGGCUGGUCACAGAAGGUGACAACCCUGUAGGCGUAAGCGAUUCGUGCGGAUCGGUUCGUUCCCGAGUAGCGCGAGACACGAGAAACCUCGCGUGAAACCGGGGAGACCACUCUCCAAGGCUAAAUACUCUCUGGCGACCGAUAGUGAACCAGUACCGUGAGGGAAAGGUGAAAAGCACCCUAGUAAAGGGAGUGAAAUAGUACCUGAAACCGUACGUUUACAACCAGUCGAAGCACGUGCGCCAUCCGCAAGGACGGCCGUGCGACGGCGUGCCUUUUGCAUAAUGAUCCGGCGAGUUGCGUUCCGUCGCAAGGUUAAGGACCUCAGGUCCGGAGCCGCAGCGAAAGCGAGUCCGAACAGGGCGACCAGUGGCGGUGCGCAGACCCGAAGCGGGAUGAUCUAACCAUGGCCAGGGCGAAACUGGGGUAACACCCAUUGGAGGCCCGAACUACUAUACCUUAAAAAGUAUUUGGAUGAGCUGUGGUUAGGGGUGAAAGGCUAAUCAAAUUCCGUGAUAGCUGGUUCUCCUCGAAAUGUUUUUAGGAACAGCCUCGCGUGGUUCGUCCUGGCGGUAGAGCACUGAAUGGACUAGGGGCCCAACAAGGUUACCGAACCCAAUCAAACUCCGAACACCAUGACGCAAAGCGCGGGAGUGAGACUGCGGAUGCUAAGACCCGCGGUCGAAAGGGAAACAGCCCAGACCCACAGCUAAGGUCCCUAAGACUGGCUAAGUGUGAAAGGUUGUGGAGUUUCAUAGACAACCAGGAGGUUGGCUUAGAAGCAGCCAUUCCUUUAAAGAGUGCGUAACAGCUCACUGGUCAAGCGAUUCCGCGCCGAAGAUCCAAGGGGGCUCAAGCCAGCCACCGAAGCUUGGGAAUUUUAUCGCAAGAUAGAGUUGGUAGAGGAGCAUUCCAUGGGAGACACACGGCAGACCGGCAAGGGCUGCUAUCGGUCCAUGGAAGAGAGUAUGCCGGAAUCAGUAACGACAAAACGGGUGAAAAACCCGUUCGCCGCAAGUCUAAGAUUUCCUGGGCGAUGCUAAUCAUCCCAGGGUGAGCCGGGCCCUAAGCCGAGGCCGAAAGGCGUAGGCGAUGGAAAGCUGGUAAAAAUUCCAGCGCCACGGCGCGCGCGUGAUGGGGGGACGCUGUUGAGAAGCUCUACACACUGACGGACGUGUGUGGCGAAACCUGUAGGGUGGGCCGCAGGCAAAUCCACGGCCCUUUAACCCAAGAGGAAUCGGGAAGGCGGCCUUCGGGCCAACCAACUGAGUCACAUCAGCAGCCAAGAAAAGCCUCUAAGCAUAGCGCGUCGUGCCCGUAUCGCAAUCCGACACAGGUAGACGAGGCGAGUAGCCUCAGGCGCUCGAGAUAACUUGGGUUAAGGAACUCGGCAAAAUGGCCUCGUAACUUCGGAAGAAGAGGCGCCUCUGCGCGUGUACCGGUUCGCCCGGGAAGCGCGCGGGGGCCGCAGUGAAAAGGUCCAGGCGACUGUUUAGCAAAAACACAGCACUCUGCCAAGUCGUAAGACGACGUAUAGGGUGUGACGCCUGCCCAGUGCCGGACGGUUAAAGGAAGGUGUUAGUCCGCAAGGGCGAAGCUCCUGACUGAAGCCCCGGUAAACGGCGGCCGUAACUAUAACGGUCCUAAGGUAGCGAAAUUCCUUGUCGGGUAAGUUCCGACCCGCACGAAUGGCGUAACGAUCUGGACGCUGUCACAACCCAAGGCUCGGUGAAGUUGAGUUACCGGUGAAGACGCCGGUUACCCGCAGUUGGACGGAAAGACCCUGUGAACCUUUACUAUAGCCUGAUAUUGUCUUUCGAUCACUCAUGUAGAGGAUAGGUGGGAGGCUACGAAGCGGGAGCGCCAGCUUCCGUGGAGCCAACCUUGGAAUACCACCCUUGUGUGCUUGAAAGACUAACCAGGGCCCGUGAAUCCGGGUCUGGAACAGUGUCAGGUGGGUAGUUUGACUGGGGCGGUCGCCUCCAAAAGUGUAACGGAGGCGCACGAAGGUUCCCUCAGCACGGUCGGCAAUCGUGCGUAGAGCGUAUUGGCAGAAGGGAGCUUGACUGCGAGACCCACACGUCGAGCAGGUGCGAAAGCAGGUCAAAGUGAUCCGGCGGUUCCUUGUGGAAGGGCCGUCGCUCAUCGGAUAAAAGGUACUCCGGGGAUAACAGGCUGAUAGCGCCCAAGCGUCCACAGCGACGGCGCUGUUUGGCACCUCGAUGUCGGCUCACCACAUCCUGGGGCUGUAUUCGGUCCCAAGGGUUCGGCUGUUCGCCGAUUAAAGUGGUACGUGAGCUGGGUUCAGAACGUCGUGAGACAGUUCGGUCCCUAUCCGCUGCGGGCGCAGGAAAGCUGAGGAAAGCUGUCCCUAGUACGAGAGGACCGGGACGGACGAACCUAUGGUGUGCCGGUUGUCCUGCCAAGGGCAUUGCCGGGUAGCUAUGUUCGGACCGGAUAACCGCUGAAGGCAUCUAAGCGGGAAGCCGCAUCCAAGAUAAGCUUUCCCAGUCCGAAAGGACUCUAAAGACCCCCGGAAGACUACCGGGUUGAUAGGCGGGAAAUGGAAGCGCAGCAAUGCGUGGAGUUGACCCGUACUAAUCGGUCGUGAGGCUUUUCGUC
rnacentral:rRNA from 1 species